rnacentral:rRNA from 1 species
UAUUUUGACUAUACAAAGGUAUUGAAAUAAGACUUUAAUUGAGUGCUAAGAGAAUGGAAAUACAGAAAAAAACUUUCUUAAACUUAAAAUUUAAAGUUAUUUUUAUUUGUGAAGAAACAAUAAUAUAAAUUAGGGACAAGAAGACCCUAAGAAUUUUUAUUUAAAUUUAUUUUAAAUUUAAAAAAUAAAUUUAAUUUAAUUGGGGCGAUUGAUUAAUAUGAUUAACUUUUUUAUUUAAAAAUAUGAACCAUUAUUAGUGGUUAUUUGAAAAAAUACUCUAGGGAUAACAGCGUAAUAAUUUUUGAUAGUUCUUAUAGACAAAAUAGUUUGCGACCUCGAUGUUGGAUUAGGAUAUUUUUUUAAUGAAGAAGUUAAAAAAAAAAGUUUGUUCAACUUUUAAUUUCCU